UGCAGUCGAGCGGACAGAAGGGAGCUUGCUCCCGGAUGUUAGCGGCGGACGGGUGAGUAACACGUGGGUAACCUGCCUGUAAGACUGGGAUAACUCCGGGAAACCGGAGCUAAUACCGGAUAGUUCCUUGAACCGCAUGGUUCAAGGAUGAAAGACGGUUUCGGCUGUCACUUACAGAUGGACCCGCGGCGCAUUAGCUAGUUGGUGAGGUAACGGCUCACCAAGGCGACGAUGCGUAGCCGACCUGAGAGGGUGAUCGGCCACACUGGGACUGAGACACGGCCCAGACUCCUACGGGAGGCAGCAGUAGGGAAUCUUCCGCAAUGGACGAAAGUCUGACGGAGCAACGCCGCGUGAGUGAUGAAGGUUUUCGGAUCGUAAAGCUCUGUUGUUAGGGAAGAACAAGUGCAAGAGUAACUGCUUGCACCUUGACGGUACCUAACCAGAAAGCCACGGCUAACUACGUGCCAGCAGCCGCGGUAAUACGUAGGUGGCAAGCGUUGUCCGGAAUUAUUGGGCGUAAAGGGCUCGCAGGCGGUUUCUUAAGUCUGAUGUGAAAGCCCCCGGCUCAACCGGGGAGGGUCAUUGGAAACUGGCAAACUUGAGUGCACAAGAGGAGAGUGAAUUUCCACGUGUAGCG
rnacentral:rRNA from 1 species